CAGUGUUUUUCAACUCAAAGAUCAUAAAAGCCAAUUAUGGUAGUGGCCCAAAAGCCCAAGGAGAAGAAGCACUUUAGGAAAUUAGAAGAUCCAGUAGAUGCAGCUUUGCCAGGUAAGAAGAAAUUAAGUAGUCUAUCUCGCGUAGGGCAUCUGUUGAGGAUGAAGAGCCAGCAGAGAAAGGAAUGUUUUGGUAUUCCUCCAGCGAUCCAAAUAAUAUUUUCCCAAGGCAUCGCUACUCCUUGACCAGAUAAGACUUCGUAAACAUGUCGAAGAGAUUUUACCUUCUAACUCCCAUUCGUAAUAAUCUUCAUAUGAUGACAAUUCCAGGGUGGUAAGGAACACUUGAAGCUGCAGCUGUUUGUCAGAGCGAGGGUGUGGAAGUAUCCAGUGAUUGUCCGUGAAGAGCGAGGACAGCGUUGCAUCUGCUUGCUUGUAUCCCAAGAGAGAAGUUUGAGUCGUUGGCCAAAAAAUUCUUCAGGGAGCCAAAAGGUUGAACCGUCCAGAAAGAGUUAAGGUCUGAGCCGGCUUGAGCAAUUUUGCUCUCUCUUCUUUUCUCUAGAUUCUUCUGAUCUCGAUCUGAGCCGGCUUUCUCAGCACCGGAGCCGGUCUCUCUUUUUGUGGUUCUCUGCAUGUUGCUUUGCUUGGUUUAUUCUGAGCUGUGGAGUUCGCUCCUUGUCAUCAAGCUUCUCUAUGGUGGUUCAUGACGUUUCCGCAUCUUCCGGUUAUUCAAAGAGAGAGUGAUGAGAUAUAUCUGAGUUCAAGAAGCAAAUAGAGAGACAGCUUAGCCGCAUCACAGAGACGGAAAAUGAUUUUACUGCCAAUCAAGAAACAUUAGAUCCUCGGUGUGCUUUCCUCCCCUGGACCAUAUUGCAGCAGGGAACAAAUGUCUAAAGCCAUCCUGAUACCGGAAGUUACAUUCAUGCGAAGGACAAGAGAAGACAUUGGUCCUGCUGGUGUCUUCGGGAUGUAAUAACCAACCAAGAGUCUGUGAAACCAAUCUUGAUGUCCCACAAGAAGCACGGUGCACCGCCACUAGCAGAGAACGGAGAGAAACGGACCCCGUCCGCCUGCCAAGCAGCCAAACCAAAAGAAGGUAGCGGAACGCGCUUUAUGCUCAAGGAACAUGUCAGUAAUUUGGUGACACAGAACAGCAGAAUUUGUUUCGGUGGAGAAAAGCGUUCGUGGACGUUCUUAAGGUUUUGUCUGAUACAAAUCCAGAUAUUUUCCAACAAUAUUUGCGCAAAAUUCAAGAUCAGAAAAAGCAGAGGAUACAAAGAGGAACCUGGAGACAGCUAGAGGAGAUUGUUGGUUUAAAAAGACACACGUCAGCGUCGAAGUAAGAGUUCUUCUGCACUUUACGUGACACAGAAAUCGGGUUUACGUUUGUUUUUCCCAGGUUCUCACGCAUGAAUUAUAGUAGAAUUUAAAUGCUUGCUUGCUUCAAGUCUCCGUAGGUAUAGAGAUAAGGAUGACAUAUUAUAGAUAGAGAUAAACUCAUGUUAGAGUUAUCUAGAUAUACUCAAUCCCCUUAGUUAUGGGAUCUCAUUACUUGUAUAUAAACUCCACAUCGUACAUGAAUACAACACACGCUUUAUACUCA